rnacentral:rRNA from 1 species
UACAGAGGUCUCGAGCGUUGUUCGGAUUCAUUGGGCGUAAAGGGCGCGUAGGCGGCGCGGUAAGUCGGGUGUGAAAUCUCGGGGCUUAACUCCGAAACUGCAUUCGAUACUGCCGUGCUUGAGGACUGGAGAGGAGACUGGAAUUUACGGUGUAGCGGUGAAAUGCGUAGAUAUCGUAAGGAAGACCAGUGGCGAAGGCGGGUCUCUGGACAGUUCCUGACGCUGAGGCACGAAGGCCAGGGGAGCAAACGGG